AUUGAACGCUGGCGGCAUGCCUUACACAUGCAAGUCGAACGGUAGCGGGCCUUCGGGUGCCGACGAGUGGCGAACGGGUGAGUAAUACAUCGGAACGUGCCCGAUCGUGGGGGAUAACGAGGCGAAAGCUUUGCUAAUACCGCAUACGAUCUACGGAUGAAAGCAGGGGACCGCAAGGCCUUGCGCGGACGGAGCGGCCGAUGGCAGAUUAGGUAGUUGGUGGGAUAAAGGCUUACCAAGCCGACGAUCUGUAGCUGGUCUGAGAGGAUGAUCAGCCACACUGGGACUGAGACACGGCCCAGACUCCUACGGGAGGCAGCAGUGGGGAAUUUUGGACAAUGGGCGCAAGCCUGAUCCAGCCAUGCCGCGUGCAGGAUGAAGGCCUUCGGGUUGUAAACUGCUUUUGUACGGAACGAAAAGCCUUCUUUUAAUACAGGAGGGUCAUGACGGUACCGUAAGAAUAAGCACCGGCUAACUACGUG
rnacentral:rRNA from 1 species